UUUAAAGUAGGUAUAUUUAUUGUGGCACCAUGUGUGAGGGGGAUAAUUCCUUACUCGCACACUGAGAACAGCAGUGGUUACAUAUUUAAAGACAAAACAUAGACAUAUUUGUUACAUUCCAAAAAAAAAUGGGCUGGAACUCUGAAAAAUUACUGACAUGUUGUACCACCCUCAUAAGCACGCGUCCUAAAGAUGUGGUGGGUGUCUCUGGUAGUCGUUGGAUGAAGGCUGAGUCUUUUUUGCUGUGAACGUUCAACCUUUUCCGGGGGUUGCAUUGUGUCACAACAGCAACACUGCCUCAAUAUGUUCAUGGGACCCCCCAUGAAGACCCGGUGCAGGACUGCAUCCGCCUGAUGAGCUGUCACUGUUGUUGUCCCUCUCCAAGUGUCUCCGCCACAGUGGGGAUUUUGCAAAGCUGAAGGGUUUCCUCUUGGUGCCUGAGGGUUGCUGCUUUGGGCCAUCUGGAACAACAGCCUUGCUGACCUUGUUCCAGAGCCGAAUGGGGCAUUGAGAAAGGCCCGGUCAGCACAGCCACUUGGAGGCAUGGUGCUCAGCAUCAGUGGACCCACUCCGCUGUCUUUCUUGUGCUGGGGGCCCCACAAGUGGAUGCAGUGCGGCAGGUGGGGCCUUGUGAGAGCAGAGUAGAGGGGCAGAAUCACUUCCCCUGACCUGCUAGUCACGUUUGUCUUGAUGCAGCACAGGAAACGCUUGGCCUUGGGGGCUGCAAGUGCACGGUGCAGCUCAUGUUGAGUCUUUCAUCAGCCAACACCCCCAGGACCCUUUCCUCCAGCCACUCAUCCCCAAGCCUAUAGCGCUGCAUGGGCUUGUUGUGGCCAAAGUGCAGGACCCGCCACUUGGCCUUGUUGACCUCUCCAGUUAAUCAGGAGCGCUGGUGGAUGGCCGAGAGCGGCUUGGCAGUCACCUCUGCCAGCUCCCUCAGGAGUCUGUGGAGGGACUCUUCCUGCCCCCCGUGCCGUGCGCCGUCUUCCUGCACUGCUGGCUCCUGACAUUUUUCACGUGGUGCUGCAUGAGGAUCGUCAUAAGUCUCUCCAUUAAGGUUAUGUAGGCAUCCAUCUGGCAGAGCAGGUCGAGAGCAUUUAUGUUGUCCGUUUCCUCUGUUCCUAAGGAAGCUGGGUCCACUUGUCCCGUUCCCUGGAAGUGAGAGAGCAUGGGCACAGUGAAAGGGAGGCAGGCUUGUUUUGCAGAG
ensembl:lncRNA